AUCGAAUUUCAAUAAAUAAAUAAAUUUAAUUACGUGUCCCUUAAGAUUAAUCAAGGUACAAACACAUAAUAAUUCUCAACCAAUAAUUUCUUAAUCAAAACAUAAUAUAGUAGGGAAAUGUUGAAGACUUAACCUACCAGUGAUGAGAUUCAUAUCUGUGGGAACAAUGCAUUCGUCAUAGCCAGUAUUGUCUUCGUCGUCGGAUUCCGCCGGAAGACGCGUGCCGUGGCCGCUGUAGUGGACAAAGAGGGCGUCGCGGGGCUUGGCGGACCGGACAAGCUUGGACAGAGCCAACCUGAUGUUCUUGCCGGGAAAUGGAAGAUUGGAGAAGAUUAAAGAGAUACUGCUAGAAGCCACUCGUCCAGUGAAACAUUGGCAACUCUAGUCCAGCUAAGAAGCCCAAUGAGCUUAAGAAGCCACAUGUCAGUAAAGCUACCUCUCACCCACCGAGAGGAUUUGGUGGCCUAACAAGAAAACACUUUUUGAUGAACAUUUUGAAGUGUCAAGAGUUGAAGAAAAGAUAGUUUUUUGGAUGUGGAAACAAACUAGAUGCUCAAGACAUAGGCUGAGGCAUUUCUAGGGCUCAAGAACUCCAUCUUCCUCAAUCAUUUUCAUCAUUCUAAUUCAUUCUUGUGUUCUAGAUAUAUAGAAGUAGCUAAACUUCAUUUUAUUGGGGUUGGAUGUAAUGUACUUAAACUUUGUAGUUUUUUC
rnacentral:sRNA from 1 species